rnacentral:siRNA from 1 species
UAUAAAGAGAGAUUGGAUGUU